rnacentral:rRNA from 1 species
UAGGGAAUAUUGGACAAUGGGGGCAACCCUGAUCCAGCCAUGCCGCGUGAGUGAAGAAGGCCCUCGGGUUGUAAAGCUCUUUUGUCCGGAAAGAAAAGCAUUCGGUGAAUACCCGGAUGUUCAGACGGUACCGGAAGAAUAAGCACCGGCUAACUUCGUGCCAGCAGCCGCGGUAAUACGAAGGGUGCAAGCGUUACUCGGAAUUACUGGGCGUAAAGCGUGCGUAGGUGGUUGUUUAAGUCUGAUGUGAAAGCCCUGGGCUCAACCUGGGAAUGGCAUUGGAAACUGGGCAGCUUGAGUGCGGUAGAGNGUAGUGGAAUUCCCGGUGUAGCAGUGAAAUGCGUAGAGAGCGGGAGGAACAUCUGUGGCGAAGGCGACUGCCUGGACCAGCGCUGACACUGAGGCACGAAAGCGUGGGGAGCAAACA